rnacentral:rRNA from 1 species
AUUGAACGCUGGCGGCAGGCCUAACACAUGCAAGUCGAGCGGAGAGAGGUAGCUUGCUACUGAUCUUAGCGGCGGACGGGUGAGUAAUGCUUAGGAAUCUGCCUAUUAGUGGGGGACAACAUUUCGAAAGGAAUGCUAAUACCGCAUACGUCCUACGGGAGAAAGCAGGGGAUCUUCGGACCUUGCGCUAAUAGAUGAGCCUAAGUCGGACUAGCUAGUUGGUGGGGUAAAGGCCUACCAAGGCGACGAUCUGUAGCGGGUCUGAGAGGAUGAUCCGCCACACUGGGACUGAGACACGGCCCAGACUCCUACGGGAGGCAGCAGUGGGGAAUAUUGGACAAUGGGCGGAAGCCUGAUCCAGCCAUGCCGCGUGUGUGAAGAAGGCCUUAUGGUUGUAAAGCACUUUAAGCGAGGAGGAGGCUACUUUAGUUAAUACCUAGAGAUAGUGGACGUUACUCGCCGAAUAAGCACCGGCUAACUCUGUGCCAGCCGCCGCCGUAAGAC